rnacentral:lncRNA from 1 species
CAGCUUCAUCUCCCUCACAAUCUCACUCCGUUUCUCAAAACCAAACGAUUCACUCCUCAAUUUCAUUGCGCCAAAGCCACUCGACGAAACCCUAAUUACCCUCCGGGCGGCGCCGAUAGCUUCGUCGAUGAUCCCCGAGCCGCUCCAUAAACUCCGAGAUUGACCGGCCCUAUGGUUUUGAGGACGACGAUGAAGACAGAGACGGAGACGACGAUGAUGAGGAAGAUAAGAGCUUGGAUCUGUUGGUCAGGUUUGUUCAGAGUAGAGUGUUGAAGCGAGCCAGGACCCCGUUGCAAUCCCCACCAAGUUGGAAAACAUUCAUUGUAUACUUGUUAAUCAGAAAUUUUGGUUUCGGAAAAGCUGGGAUUUUUAUAGCUGAAUUGUUGGUGUAGGUGGGGUUUUCUGGUAAUGGGGUGCUAAUGCUGGCGUUUUUAGGUCAUGGUUCUUUGUAA